rnacentral:lncRNA from 1 species
AAAUAAAAUGGAAGUUAAACACAACCCAUCAGCCACAAAGUUCAAGAAAAGGUGGAAAGCAUGAACUGGACACUUGAGCAGCUACUGAAAAAAAUAUUGCCAGGAAAUUCAUGUAAGAUAAAAUCAGGUUUUUGCCUAUGGUCCUCCUCCGAGUCAGGUGCACCCCCAAACAAACAAGGUAUUUGCCCUAUAAGAUUUUGUUCAGUCGGCCACCCCCAAAUCAUAGGUCAAAUUAAAGGUGACCUCCAGAAACUACAGGAAUUAACCUUAAAAAAGCAAAUGCAGGCUUUAAAAAUAGCCAUACAAAGUGUUCAU